CUGGCUCAGGACGAACGCUGGCGGCGUGCCUAAUACAUGCAAGUCGAACGGUCUUUCUAUGGAAGCUUGCUUCCGCUGAGAAGAUAGUGGCGAACGGGUGAGUAACACGUGGGUAACCUGCCCAUAAGAGGGGGGAUAACAUCCGGAAACGGGUGCUAAUACCGCAUAGUUUUCUUGAUCGCAUGAUCGGGAAAGGAAAGACGGCCUUUGUGCUGUCGCUUAUGGAUGGACCCGCGGCGUAUUAGUUAGUUGGUGAGGUAACGGCUCACCAAGACGAUGAUACGUAGCCGACCUGAGAGGGUGAUCGGCCACAUUGGGACUGAGACACGGCCCAAACUCCUACGGGAGGCAGCAGUAGGGAAUCUUCCGCAAUGGACGAAAGUCUGACGGAGCAACGCCGCGUGAGUGAAGAAAGGUUUUCGGAUCGUAAAACUCUGUUGUCAGAGAAGAACAAGUUGGAGAGUAACUGCUCCAGCCUUGACGGUAUCUGACCAGAAAGCCACGGCUAACUACGUGCCAGCAGCCGC
rnacentral:rRNA from 1 species